rnacentral:lncRNA from 1 species
GAUUUCACAAUGCCAUUGGAGACUACCGCUGGCACCUGGACAAAGUGAAAACUGAUCUGCGUGAAAAGGCUGCAAUUCAUCAGAUGGAGGAAGAAUUUGAAAGCCUGCUGAAACAAUCCUUUGAGAGAAUGGAUCAACUGCGUCAGUUCCAGAACCUAAUCCAGGCCACUAGCAAAGAGAUCAUGUGGAUCAAUGACUGUGAGG